CUUGAGGUUGCGGCUUGGGAUACCCUCCUCCAGGACAUCGCCCUCCUCCCUAUAGACGUUACCGACUCCCCGGACUCCAUCUCUUGGUGACUGGAACCCUCCGGCCGCUUCUCCACCAGAUCCCUCUACGCGGCUAUCGCCCCAUCGACGGCCCCCGAGCCCUUCAGUUUGAUUUGGGACAUCCGCCUGCCCCUGAAGAUCAGGAUUUUCCUGUGGCAAUGGAUCCGCGGCCGCCUCCCGUCCGGCGUUGAGGUCCUUAAACGCCACGGACCUGGAGAUGGGAUGUGCCCCAUGUGCGGCAUGGUAGAGGAUGCCAACCACAUCUUCUUCUCAUGCCACACGACACAGUUCCUUUGGUCCUGUUUCCGUGAAACGGUUGGGGGCCAGUGGUGCAACACCAACGUCCCUGACCUGCUUGCGGAAAUUCAGGCCUCACCCCCUCGCUACAGGCAUAUUAGAUGGCUUUGCGUGGGGAUCCUUGCCUGGACGCUGUGGACUGUUCGCAAUAAGCUUGUCAUCCAGAAGGUGCCUCUCCGGCGUGCUACUGACUCCAUCUUUAAAUUGUGUGGGUACUUGCAGCUCUGGAGGCAGCUUAGCCGCCCACAGGACCGGGACGUCAUCAACACCCUCCUCGCUGACCUUCGAUCAAUGGCCUUUCGCUUGGCGCCCCCGCUCCCCCCGCCACCCCCGGAGCCCGACUAG
rnacentral:rRNA from 1 species